GACAGAGGCCCCAAGCGUUAGGCGGAAUCACUGGGCUUAAAGCGUGUGUAGGCGGAUCGUUAAGUGUCUUGUGAAAUCCCACGCUCACCCGUGGAACUGCUGGGCAUACUGGCGAUCUUGGGCCAACUAGGGGCAGCCGGAACAAGCGGUGGAGCGGUGAAAUGCGUAGAUAUCGCUUGGAACGCCAAAGGUGAAAACAGGCUGCUGGGGUUGUGCCGACGCUGAGACACGAAAGCCAGGGGAGCAAACGGG
rnacentral:rRNA from 1 species